rnacentral:rRNA from 1 species
GCUCAAAUUUGAAAUCUGGCGCCUUCGGUGUCCGAGUUGUAAUUUGAAGAUUGUAACCUUGGGGUUGGCUCUUGUCUAUGUUUCUUGGAACAGGACGUCACAGAGGGUGAGAAUCCCGUGCGAUGAGAUGCCCAAUUCUAUGUAAGGUGCUUUCGAAGAGUCGAGUUGUUUGGGAAUGCAGCUCUAAGUGGGUGGUAAAUUCCAUCUAAAGCUAAAUAUUGGCGAGAGACCGAUAGCGAACAAGUACAGUGAUGGAAAGAUGAAAAGAACUUUGAAAAGAGAGUGAAAAAGUACGUGAAAUUGUUGAAAGGGAAGGGUUUGAGAUCAGACUCGAUAUUUUGUGAGCCUUGCCUUCGUGGCGGGGUGACCCGCAGCUUAUCGGGCCAGCAUCGGUUUGGGCGGUAGGAUAAUGGCGUAGGAAUGUGACUUUACUUCGGUGAAGUGUUAUAGCCUGCGUUGAUGCUGCCUGCCUAGACCGAGGACUGCGAUUUUAUCAAGGAUGCUGGCAUAAUGAUCCCAAACCGCCCGUCUU